rnacentral:rRNA from 1 species
UGCAAGUCGAACGAAGUUAAAGUUAGCAAUAACGUUUAACUUAGUGGCAAACGGGUGCGUAACACGUGAAUUAUUUUCCGUUAAGUAUGGAAUAAUCUAGGGAAACUUAGUGUAAUACCAAAUAGUAAUCGUAAGAUUUAAAGGAGCAAUCCGCUUAAUGAUAAGUUCGCGGCCUAUCAGCUAGUUGGUGAGGUAAUGGCUCACCAAGGCUACAACGGGUAGCUGGUCUGAGAGGAUGGCCAGCCACACUGGAACUGAGACACGGUCCAGACACCUACGGGUGGCAGCAGUCGAGAAUCUUUCACAAUGGGGGAAACCCUGAUGGAGCGACGCCGCGUGGAGGAUACAGUCUUCGGAUUUUAAACUCCUGUCAUGCGAGAGUAAGGUUAAUAGCUUGAUAGUAUCGCAAGAGGAAGAGGCGGCAAACUCUGUGCCAGCAGCCGCGGUAAUACAGAGGCCUCAAGCGUUGUUCGGAAUCACUGGGCGUAAAGGGUGCGUAGGUGGCUUUGUAAGUCAAUUUGUAAAAUCCGUGCGCUCAACGCACGUGUGCAUUUGAUACUGCGAGGCUUGAGAUAUUUAGGGGAGAUGGGAAUUCACGGUGUAGCAGUGAAAUGCGUAGAUAUCGUGAGGAACACCAAUGGCGAAGGCACAUCUCUGGAAAUUUUCUGACACUGAGGCACGAAGGCUAGGGUAGCAAAUGGGAUUAGAUACCCCGGUAGUCCUAGCAGUAAACGGUGCAUGCUUGGUGUAUGAAUAUUGGACUAUUUAUGCGCCGGAGUUAACACGUUAAGCAUGCCGCCUGGGAAGUACGGUCGCAAGAUUAAAACUCAAAGAAAUUGACGGGGACCCGCACAAGCGGUGGAGUAUGUGGCUUAAUUCGAUGCAACGCGAUGAACCUUACCUGGAUUUGACAUUUAAACAAAUGAUGUAAGAAAUUACAUUUGGCGUAGCAAUACGCGGUUUAAACAGGUGCUGCAUGGCUGUCGUCAGCUCGUGUCGUGAGAUGUUGGGUUAAGUCCCGCAACGAGCGCAACCCUUGUUUUUUGUUGCUAACAGCUUGCCUGAGCACUCGAAAAAGACUGCCUAGAUCAACUAGGAGGAAGGUGAGGAUGACGUCAAGUCAGUAUGGCCCUUACAUCCAGGGCUGCACACGUACUACAAUGCUUAAUACAGAACGCUCCAAGGCUGCGAGGCCAAGGCAAUCGUCAAAAGUUAGGCUAAGUUCAGAUUAGAGGCUGCAACUCGCCUCUAUGAAGUUGGAAUCGCUAGUAAUGGCGCAUCAGCUACGGUGCCGUGAAUACGUUCCCGGGUCUUGUACACACC